AGUUUGAUCAUGGCUCAGGAUGAACGCUGGCGGCGUGGAUCAGGCAUGCAAGUCGUACGGACCCGCAAGGGUCAGUGGCAAACGGGUGAGUAACACGUGAGCAUCUGCCUCUAACUCGGAACUAACCCAGAGAAAUUUGGGCUAAUGUCCGAUGGUCCUGCACUUCUUCGGAUGUGCAGGUAAAGAUUUUUCGGUUAGAGAAGAGCUUGCGUCCUAUCAGCUAGUUGGUGAGGUAAUGGCUCACCAAGGCGAUGACGGGUAGCUGGUUUGAGAGAACAACCAGCCACAGUGGGACUGAGACACUGCCCACACUCCUACGGGAGGCUGCAGUCGCGAAUAUUCGUCAAUGCCCGAAAGGGUGAACGAGCGACGCCGCGUGAUCGAUGAAGCCCUUCGGGGUGUAAAGAUCUUUUCUUCGGGAAGAACAGAUGACGGUACCGAAGGAAUAAGCCUUGGCUAACCUCGUG
rnacentral:rRNA from 1 species